UACGGGGGGAGCAAGCGUUGUUCGGAUUUACUGGGCGUAAAGGGCGCGUAGGCGGUGUCGUAAGUCGGAUGUGAAAUCCCGGGGCUUAACUUCGGAACUGCAUUCGAUACUGCGAUACUCGAGGACUCGAGAGGAGAUUGGAAUUCACGGUGUAGCAGUGAAAUGCGUAGAUAUCGUGAGGAAGACCAGUGGCGAAGGCGGAUCUCUGGAGAGUUCCUGACGCUGAGGCACGAAGGCCAGGGGAGCAAACGGG
rnacentral:rRNA from 1 species